rnacentral:rRNA from 1 species
CAGCAGCAGCCGCGGUAAUACGUAGGGUGCGAGCGUUAAUCGGAAUUACUGGUCGUAAAGCGUGCGCAGGCGGUUGUACAAGACAGAUGUGAAAUCCCCGGGCUUAACCUGGGAAUGGCAUUUGUGACUGUACGGCUAGAGUGUGUCAGAGGGGGGUAGAAUUCCACGUGUAGCAGUGAAAUGCGUAGAUAUGUGGAGGAAUACCGAUGGCGAAGGCAGCCCCCUGGGAUAACACUGACGCUCAUGCACGAAAGCGUGGGGAGCAAACAGGAUUAGAGACCCCUGUAGUCCCUGUCUCUUAUAC